rfam:Otolemur garnettii contig059044, whole genome shotgun sequence.
UCAAAGGCUCUUUUCAGAGCCACCCACGAUCUCAGUCAAAAGAGCU